CCCGGGGCGCUGCGGCGGCGGCGGCGCUGGGAUCCUGUCUCCGCUAGGCCGCCUGCACGGCACCCAGAAGAGGUUGCUGAGCCCCGGGCCAUGGUCCCCUCUCGCAGGACGUGGAACUUGGGAGCCACGCCUUCACUUCGGGGCCUGUGGAGAGUGGGCCGGGUCCAGGAGCCCAAGCCUGGGAUGGCUCGCCCCGCCCCAGCCAGCCCAGCCGCCCGCCCUUUCCCACACACCGGCCAGGGGAGGUUGAGAACUGGGCGUGGAAAAGAUACCCUACCUGGUGGCGAGGAAGACUCCACUUCCCGGUCUGCAGCUCGCCCGUCUCUUGCUCAGUGCCGAGCCCUCAGCGUGGACUGGCCUGGCCCUAGGAGUCCCCAUAGACUCUACCUGACAGUGCAGGUGGGCGGCUCCUUGGCAUCGGGAGGUGCUCAAGCCUGUCCGGGUCACCAGGCCCAGACCCCGUGGUACAUAGGACCGUGGAGGCCAUGUCCCAGCUUCAGGAGGAGCUGGUAGUCCUUCGGGAGAGGCUGGCCCUCCAUGACAGUGACCGGCAAGCCACAACCACCCAGCUGCAGAACCAGGUGGAGAAUCUAAAGGAAAAGCUCAUUA
rnacentral:lncRNA from 1 species